UUCAGAUGUGCCACUCUCAGCCUCCCUUCAGCAGGAUGCAGUUAACAACCAUGCUGACAAGGAGCGUUGGAGUUGCGGGAAGUACUCUGCGGUGCAGCCUUGGAGCACACUGCUUCCUGCAGUGCAAGAGGCACACAGCCAGCAGGCAGAUGGAAAGAGCGGGAACGAUGAGGCGAGAAGCGAGAGCGGCGGGAAGCGAAAACGGCGGGAAGAGAGAGACACGUUCUGCGCUCCUAUUGGCUGGCGGGCGGCGGGGACACCUAUAUAAGGCUCACGGGGAAAUGCAAACUCCUUACAGCGUGACAGGAAUCCCACUGCUCUGAGGAAAAGACGGCAAGCGGCAUCCCGGGCUGAGUUACCAACAACUAAUGGAAGAUAAACAAAUGAAACUGAGGAAGUCUGGAUGACAAACGAAAAAGAGGAGCUCUAAAUAGAGGAGCUCCCGCAGAAGACGGCGGAAGAAGCCACGUGUGGAACUGGGCGGCAGGAGGAUGCAAGCAGAGGGAGCAAGAAGAGGAAGCAGAAGACUGCGGCUGGGCUAAGGGAGAGGCGGCCUGGGCAAAAGCAUCUCCCUGUCACCAGGGGCAUAGUCAUGUCGCAGUAGAGCGUUGCCGGCACUUUAGGUGACCAGGCCGGCUUUGUGCUGGG
rnacentral:lncRNA from 1 species